AGAGUUUGAUCCUGGCUCAGAACGAACGCUGGCGGCAGGCCUAACACAUGCAAGUCGAACUGCAGCACAGAGGAGCUUGCUCCUUGGGUGGCGAGUGGCGGACGGGUGAGGAAUACGUCGGAAUCUGCCUAUUUGUGGGGGAUAACGUAGGGAAACUUACGCUAAUACCGCAUACGACCUACGGGUGAAAGCGGAGGACCUUCGGGCUUCGCGCAGAUAGAUGAGCCGACGUCGGAUUAGCUAGUUGGCGGGGUAAAGGCCCACCAAGGCGACGAUCCGUAGCUGGUCUGAGAGGAUGAUCAGCCACACUGGAACUGAGACACGGUCCCACACUCCUACGGGAGGCAGCAGUGGGGGAAUAUUGGACAAUGGGCGCAAGCCUGAUCCAGCCAUGCCGCGUGUGUGAAGAAGGCCUUCGGGUUGUAAAGCACUUUUGUCCGGAAAGAAAAGCACUGGGUUAAUACCCUGGUCGCCCCCCCUGUACCGGAAGAAUAAGCACCGGCUAACUUCGUGCCAGCAGCCGCGGUAAUACGAAGGGUGCAAGCGUUACUCGGAAUUACUGGGCGUAAAGCGUGCGUAGGCGGUUUGUUAAGUCUGAUGUGAAAGCCCUGGGCUCAACCUGGGAAUGGCAUUGGAUACUGGCAACCUAGAAUGUGGUAGAGGGUGGCGGAAUUCCCGGUGUAGCAGUGAAAUGCGUAGAUAUCGGGAGGAGCAUCCCGUGGGCGAAUGCGGGCAACCUGGACCUAUAUUGACGCUGAGGCACGAAAAGCGUGGGGGAGCAAACAGGAUUAGAUACCCUGGUUAGUUCCACGCCCUAAAUACGAUGCGUAAACUGGAAUGUGUGGGUUUAAUUGAGAACUCAGUAUCGAAGCUAACGCGUUUUUGUUCACCGCCUGGGAAGUACGGUCGCAAGACUGAAACUCAAAGGAAUUGACGG
rnacentral:rRNA from 1 species